rnacentral:misc_RNA from 1 species
GAUGAAGAACGCAGCGAAAUGCGAUAAGUAAUGUGAAUUGCAGAAUUCAGUGAAUCAUCGAAUCUUUGAACGCACAUUGCGCCCGCUAGUAUUCUGGCGGGCAUGCCUGUCCGAGCGUCAUUUCAACCCUCAAGCCCCCGGGCUUGGUGUUGGGGAUCGGCGAGCCUCCGCGCCCGCCGUCCCCUAAGUCUAGUGGCGGUCUCGCUGUAGCUUCCUCUGCGUAGUAGCACACCUCGCACUGGGAAACAGCGCGGCCACGCCGUUAAACCCCCAACUUCUGAACGUUUGACCUCGGAUCAGGUAGGAAUACCCGCUGAACUUAAGCAUAUCAAUAAGCGGAGGA